GUGAGGUGUGAUGUCUCAUGCAUAAUUCUAGUUCUAAGGUCUCCAGUCAGUGGUGCAGGAGCCAGCUGUCAGUCUACCUGUCUGCUGUUUUGUACAUGUGUGUGUGUGUGUGUGUUCUUUCCCUGUUCUCUGUAAGGCUUUUUGAUGUCUCACUUUUGCAGACUCUGACAGAUGCUGGUGUGGAUGUUGGCUGUAUCCCACAGGGAUGUUUAUCUGGAGGUGGUCCAAACACUUGGUCCCUGCAUCCUCGAUUCCCACUUCCACACUGGGGCGGAUCUAUGGGCCGGCCAGUAACACAAGCAACAGAGAAUGAAACAACAAACUGGCUUCUGUUUGCGGGAGAUACGCUGAAGGCAACAAAGCGUUCCCACCCUGCCCUAGAGAGCAUGGGCAUGCUGACCAGCCCACCAACAUGGCACCUCUGUGUGUGUGCCUGCCAGCUGCUCUCAUGCCAUGGUAAAAUGAUAAAAACAACAAAG
rnacentral:lncRNA from 1 species